UCGGGACCACUAUGCUUUAGUAGUACCAGGUUCAUCUGAAACUCUUCUACCACUUAUUAAAAAAAUUAUUUAUAUAUAUAUUCUGAUUGUUGGUGUGCGUACAAUAAGAUUACUGAAAUAGAUGUGACACCAAAAUACACCCUGGAAGAACGUAAAACGACGUUUUAAGAAUUUGUGUUUUAUUUACUUUGUUUUAAAAACAUUAUUUACUUUGUUUAAAAAAAAAACCCUUAUACAUGUUUUGCGCAUUCGCGCUAGAUAGUCGUUGUAGGAUCGACUAGUCACCACUAGCUAGCGCGGAUGCGCGAGUGCACGCACCGGGACCACUCUUCUUGAAUAGUACCAAAUUAACGGGUUAAAGAUUAACGAAGUUAACUUUUUGAUAAACGGUGCUCACCUCUACGUAAAUGUAUAUUUUAGAAAUCAUUAAUGCCUGCAUUUUUUUUUUUUAGUAUUUCGUUGAACUUGCCGGCUGACAUCAUUUUCGUUUUGUACCGGUGCUCAAGGGCGUUGAAAUGCCUGCAAAUCCAAACACGUCGUAAUCUUUACUAUAUAUAUAUUUAAAAAUAUAUUGUGCGUAUAUCAAUUGUGGUACCAUGAAUAUAUACACACACAUACCACAAAUACAUAUGGAAAACGUAGCUGAAAACUUAAGAUCACCUUUUCUGUGUCGCGAUACGAAGGUAUGGCUAAAAAUAAAGAAGCACAUGUACAUUCAAGUCGAGAGAAGUUAAUGAAAACUUCAAACUCCAAAUCUUAUUACGAGGUAAUUUCUGUGGUAAUUUGGUGAAAAAUUUAAAGUUGCUGUUUACAGCUGAUAUAGAUAUUUAUUAUAUGGCUGGAAAUUUGACCAAUGAGGAACGGAAAUGGAUCCUCAAACAGUACUGGAAAACCGGGAAUGCAGAAAUGGUUAGACAGAAAUGGACUGAAGAAUUUCAAAGACCAGCUCCAUCAAGAUUAACAGUAUAUAGAAUACGUGAUAAAUUUGAGCAGACUGGGUCUGUCUGUAAUGCGCAGAAAAGCGGUCGACCAGUCAGUGUUACCACUGAAGAAAAUAAAAUUCUUGUGGCUCAAGCAUUUACCCAGAGCCCCCAGAAAUCAAAAAAGAGAGCUUCCAAUGAACUAGGCAUCUCUCGCAGAUCCCUUGGUCGUCUUAUGAAUCGAUUACCUAAAAAAGAAAUAGAGAAAUGAAAAGAAUAUUCUACUUAUUAACCAACUUUAUGCCUACUUUUUGCUCACACUCGUAUGUGUGUGCAUGUAUAUAUAUAUGUAUAUAUGCACGAGUGAUGACAUGUAGGUAUAUUCUUUAUAAAUAUUUGUGUAAGUAUAUUGUGCAUUGGUGUACCUAUCUAACUUAAUUUUAUUUCAUGACAUCUGUAUUUGGAAAUGUGAGGACAUCAUCAUUCUUUAACGUCUGUUUUCUGUGUUGGUAUGGGUUGGAGAGCUGCACCAGGUUCCAGUUUGAUUUGCCUUGGUUUCCACAGUUGGAUGCCCUUCCUAAUGCCAACCACUUUACAGUGUGUGCUGGGUGCUUUUACAUGGCACUGGCAUGAGUGCAUUUUGCAAUGCAGAACUCUUGCGAGCCAAUCCACUUCAUCAGGGGGAGUGGCCUUAACAUUUCUGCUGUGGAGGAUGGAUAUUCUUGUGUACAAUGAUUUGCAAACAGCCCUAUAUAUGAUAUGUUGUUUUUGUUUCACUUUCUUGUCACUCCAUCUUUCUCUUCUCUCCACUCAUAUUAUCUUCUUUAAACAAGGUAUGUCAAACCUGUCUCUGGGCCACAUUGUUGACAUAGUUGUCAUGGGGACCACAGAUUUUUAAACGUGUCUACAAUAAAGAUUUCCAUCAUUUGAUGAAAACUGAUGCCAGAAUAAUUUUGUACAGACAAAUUUUAUAACGACCACAAAAAACUAUAUUACUGAACAGUAACUAUUCAAAAGAUGUACAAGUUUACUGGUAAAUGUUGAUUAUAAUUUUGCUGUCCUGAUGCUUGGUAUCACUUUUUGGUAACUAAUUUUCAUAUAUCUGGAUCAUGUGUCCAUGCAAUACCAAUUUUCAUUAAUGAUGGCAAAUGUUUGUCUGUCAAUUAGGUCCUUUCAGAAGUUUUUGUUGUUUUCAUGAAGGAAAACAUCUGUUCACACACAUAAUCUUUGUGGCAAAUUGCUUGAUUUUCUCAAAUUGUUCAGGCAGAUCCUAUGAUCCCAUUUCAUUACACUUGGUUCUAAGUAAAGAGUCUGGCUGCAUUUCUAACAGUUCUACCUGUAUACUUUCAUCUUCCUUGGCAGCAUCAGGGAGAAAAAGGUGCUGUGAAUAAAGCAUUCAUUUUCGUCAGCUGAAAAAUCAAUAAAUCUUUAGAAAAGUUCAUCUCA